GAGUACGAUCGCAAGGUUGAAACUCAAAGGAAUUGACGGGGGCCCGCACAAGCGGUGGAGCAUGUGGUUUAAUUCGACGCAACGCGAAGAACCUUACCAGGGCUUGACAUCUAUCUGACGUAUUUUAGAGAUAAGAUAUUUCUUUCGGGACAGAUAGACAGGUGGUGCAUGGUUGUCGUCAGCUCGUGUCGUGAGAUGUUGGGUUAAGUCCCGCAACGAGCGCAACCCUUAUUUUUAGUUGCCAGCACGUCAAGGUGGGCACUCUAGAGAGACUGCCGGUGACAAACCGGAGGAAGGUGGGGAUGACGUCAAAUCAUCAUGCCCUUUAUGUCCUGGGCUACACACGUGCUACAAUGGCCGGUACAACGGGUUGCGAGACUGUGAAGUUUAGCCAAUCCCUUAAAGCCGGUCUCAGUUCGGAUUGCAGGCUGCAACUCGCCUGCAUGAAGUCGGAAUCGCUAGUAAUCGCGAAUCAGCACGUCGCGGUGAAUACGUUCCCGGGCCUUGUACACACCGCCCGUCACACCACGAAAGCUGGCAACACCCGAAGCCGGUGACUUAACCAGUAAUGGAGAGAGCCGUCGAAGGUGGGGUUAGUGAUUGGGGUGAAGUCGUAACAAGGUAACCAAGGGCGAA
rnacentral:rRNA from 1 species